GGUCGAGAGACCCUGCGCCGAAGAUUACCGGGGCUAAAGUACGAAACCGAAGCUGUGGCUACGACGUAAGUCGUGGGGUAGGGGAGCGUUCUGUGAGGGCUGAAGUCGUUCUGUAAGGAACGGUGGACUUCACAGAAGUGAGAAUGUUGGUAUGAGUAGCGAAAAGAAUGGUGAGAAUCCAUUCCACCGAAAGCAUAAGGAUUCCUGGGCAACGAUCGUCGUCCCAGGGUAAGUCGGGACCUAAUCCGAGGCAUGGAGCGUAGGAGAUGGACAACUGGCAGAUAUUCCAGUACCGGUAAUGAUUGUUUGAGCGAUGGAGUGACACAGGAGGGCAGGCAGGCAGGAGAUUGGUUGUUCCUGUACAAGCGUGUAGGAUGGGUUGUAGGCAAAUCCGCAACCUGUGAGUCUGAGGCGUGAUGUGGAGGUUCCGGAAACGGAGCUGAAGCUGCUGACCCCACACUGUCGAGAAAAGCUUCUAGUUAGAGAAUUACCGCCCGUACCGUAAACCGACACAGGUAUGCGGGGAGAGAAUCCUAAGGUGCGCGGGAGAACCCUCGUUAAGGAACUCGGCAAAAUGUACCCGUAACUUCGGGAUAAGGGUAGCCGCUGUUGUGAAGUCUGUACAGACGGAGCAUGAGGCGGUCGCAGAGAAGAGGCCCAAGCGACUGUUUACCACAAACACAGGUGCCUGCUAAAGAGAAAUCUGACGUAUAGGUGCUGACACCUGCCCAGUGCCGGAAGGUUAAGGAAGGAUGUCCGGAGCAAUCCAAAGCAUUCGACCGAAGCCCCGGUGAACGGCGGCCGUAACUAUAACGGUCCUAAGGUAGCGAAAUUCCUUGUCGGGUAAGUUCCGACCCGCACGAAAGGUGUAACGAUUUGGGCACUGUCUCAACGAGGGACCCGGUGAAAUUGAAGUACCUGUGAAGAUGCAGGUUACCCGCGACUGGACAGAAAGACCCCAUGGAGCUUUACUGUAACCUGACAUUGGGUUCUGAUACAUCACGUACAGGAUAGGUGGGAGGCAUGGAAGCGAGGACGCUAGUCUUCGUGGAGCCGCCGUUGGGAUACCACCCUUGAUGUAUCGGAAUUCUAACCGUAGGAGUAACGAAACUCGGGACAGUGUCAGGCGGGCAGUUUGACUGGGGCGGUCGCCUCCCAAAGAGUAACGGAGGCGCCCAAAGGUUCCCUCAGCGCGGCCGGAAAUCGCGCGAAGAGUGUAAAGGCAGAAGGGAGCUUGACUGAGAGCCAAACACGGCGAUCAGGUACGAAAGUAGGGCUUAGUGAUCCGGUGGCAUCCAAGUGGAAGGGCCAUCGCUCAACGGAUAAAAGCUACCCUGGGGAUAACAGGCUAAUCUCUCCCAAGAGUCCAUAUCGACGGGGAGGUUUGGCACCUCGAUGUCGGCUCAUCACAUCCUGGGGCUGAAGUCGGUCCCAAGGGUUGGGCUGUUCGCCCAUUAAAGUGGUACGUGAGCUGGGUUCAGAACGUCGUGAGACAGUUCGGUCCCUAUCCAUCGCGGGCGCAAGAGAUUUGAAGGGGGCUGCUCCUAGUACGAGAGGACCGGAGUGGACGAACCAAUGGUGUACCAAUUAUCUCGCCAGAGGUAUAGUUGGGUAGCUACGUUCGGAAAGGAUAAACGCUGAAAGCAUCUAAGCGUGAAACCAGCCUUAAGAUGAGAUCUCUCAUAGAGUAAUCUAGUAAGACACCUUGGAGAAGACGAGGUUGAUAGGUCGGGAGUGUAAGUACAGUAAUGUAUUCAGCGGACCGAUACUAAUAUGUCGAGGGCUUGACUUA
rnacentral:rRNA from 1 species